GCGCGGGUGGCGGAACUGGUAUACGCGCAAGGUUGAGGGCCUUGUGGGAGCAAUCCCGUGGAGGUUCGAGUCCUC
rnacentral:tRNA from 1 species